rnacentral:miRNA from 1 species
UCAUUCAGCGGGCAAUGUAGACUGU